ACUCCUACGGGAGGCAGCAGUGGGGAAUAUUGCACAAUGGGCGCAAGCCUGAUGCAGCAACGCCGCGUGAGCGAUGAAGGCCUUCGGGUCGUAAAGCUCUGUCCUCAAGGAAGAAUAAAUGACGGUACUUGAGGAGGAAGCCCGGCUAACUACGUGCCAGCAGCCGCGGUAAUACGUAGGGGGCAAGCGUUAUCCGGAAUCACUGGGGCGUAAAGGGGUGCGUAGGCGGUUUUUCAAGUCAGAAGUGAAAGGCUAUGGCUCAACCAUAGUAAGCUUUUGAAACUGUUAAACUUGAGUGCAGGAGAGGAAAGUGGAAUUCCUAGUGUAGAGGUGAAAUUCGUAGAUAUUAGGAGGAACACCAGUGGCGAAGGCGACUUUCUGGACUGUAACUGACGCUGAGGCACGAAAGCGUGGGGAGCGAACAGGAUUAGAUACCCUGGUAGCACAGAG
rnacentral:rRNA from 1 species